UUGUCCCAGCCUGUGUAUUUCCUGCCUGCUGUGUGGAGCUCCCACAGCGGGACCCGGCGGGACGCACAGCAACCUCCCUCUCCGUUUAGGAGGGCCGUCCUGAGCGCGGGGCUGGCUCUUAAAGGCACGAGAGGACAGG